rnacentral:rRNA from 1 species
UACAAUGGAGAGUUUGAUCCUGGCUCAGGAUGAACGCUAGCGGCAGGCUUAAUACAUGCAAGUCGAGGGGCAGCAGGACGGUAGCAAUACCGUUGCUGGCGACCGGCAAACGGGUGCGGAACACGUACGCAACCUACCCAAAACUGGGGAAUAGCCCGGGGAAACCCGGAUUAAUACCUCGUAACAUAAUUGAAUGGCAUCAUUUAAUUAUUAU